AUGAGCAAGACCAAGGACCCAGGACCCAGGUAUUGUACCAGGACCAAGGAUCCAGGACCCAGGACCCAGGCCUUCCACCAGGAGCCAGGACCCAGGACUCAGGACCCAGGCCUUGCACCAGGAGCCAGGACCCGGGCCUUCCACCAGGACCCAGGAAUCUGGCCUCGAACUAGGACCCAGGACCCAUGUCCUUUCACCAGGAGCCAGGAGCCAGGACCCAGGCCUUGCACCAGGAGCCAGGAGCCAGGACCCGGGCCUUGCACCAGGAGUCAGGACCAAGGUCACAGGACCCAGAACCCAGGCCUUCCAUCAUUAGUCAAGACCAAGGCCAUGCACCAGGAGCCAGGAGUCAGAUCCAGGCCUUCCAUCAGGAGCCAGGAGCCAGGACCCAGGCCUUCCAUCAGGAGCCAGGACCCAGGCCUUGCACCAGGAGCCAGGACCCAGGACCCAGGCCUUGCAUCAGGAGCCAGCACCUACAACCCAGGACCCAGGCCUUCCAUCAGGAGCCAGGAGUCAGGACCCAGGCCUUGCAUCAGGAGCCAGCACCUAGAACCCAGGACCCAGGCCUUGCAUCUGGAGCCAGGAGUCAGGACCCAGGCCUUGUACCAGGAGCCAAGACCUAGGACCCAGGACCCAGGCCUCGCACCAGGAGCCAAGAGUCAGCACCCAGACCUUGCACCAGGAGCCAGGCCUUCCAUCAGGACCCAGGACCCAGGUGUUGUACCAGGACCAAACACCCAGGAGUCAAGACCCAGGCCUUGCACCAGGAGCCAGGACUCGGGACCUAGGCCUUGUACCAGGACCCAGGCCUUCCACCAGGAGCCAGGAAACAGGACCCAGGAAUCUGGCCUUGAACUAGGACCCAGGACCCAUGCCCUUUCACCAGGAGCCAGGACCAAGGACCUAGGCAUUGUACUAGGACCAAGGAUCCAGGACCCAGGACCCAGUCCUUGCACCAGGAGUCAGGACCCAGGCCUUCCAACAGGAACCAGGACCCAAGAAUCUGGCCUUGAACUAACUAGGACCCAGGACCCAUGCCCUUUCAUUAGGACCCAGGUAUUGUACCAGGAUCCAGGACCCAGGAUCCAGGCCUUCCACCUGGAGUCAAGACCCAGGCCUUCCAUCAGGAGCCAGGACCCAGGACCCAGGCCUUCUACCAGGAGCCAGCACCCAUGCCACAAAAGUUACACCUGGACCGAAGUGACAGAAGCCUUUACCUUGGAGUUAGUUGCAGUGAGAAUUUCCUGGGAAUCAGGAUACAUGAGUUCUACUUGCACUCCACAUAGACCCCAGGACCUGAAAUCAAGGACUGCACUGGUAAGUAGAGUGUGCAUACUUCAAACUUGGAGUCCAGAUACAACACAAUCCACUGGGUGUCAGGAGAGACUAGCAUCCUAUUCAGAGUCUCAGGUAGCAAUCAUUCAACUUGGAAUCAAGAAACACAAGUCCUCCAUUUAAUCAAGAGCAACAAGCUUUCUACAAUAAGUCAAGACACAAAAAUCCCACUUCAAGUCAGGGGCAAUGUCUGGUGAGUAUCCUUCUUGGUAAGUAUUAUUUAAAUAUCUCCCUUGUUUGCAUACUAGUAUUCUAUUUAAUUACAGGAGUUUCAAGGAGGCAGAAGCAUCACACUUGAAGACAGGACACAAGCAUUCUUCUUGGUGCUAUGAGGCUCAAGGCUCCAUUCCCCUUUCCUCUUGGUUCUUGCCUUUUGUGGGUGGUGAAGCCAACACCUGUGCUUAUCUAGAAGCAGAUGUUGCCCAUUGUCUCCAGAAACACUCGUUUCCUUCUGUUCCUGGAGAAUUGGGGAUUCCCUUAAGAUGCAAGUGCUGACCUGUACCUGGAGACAGAAGCCUUCCAUUGGAAUCAGGAUCAGAAAACAUUCCCUUGGAAUUAGGAGACUCAGUCAUACUCACGGAGAUCAGUGAACAUUCCACUUGAAGUUAGAAGAUACAAGCCUUAUAUUUAGUGGAGCAGGAAAUAUUCCACUCGGAUCCAAAUCUUCCCUUGGGAGUCUGGAGCUGGAAACAUUCCACAUGGAGCCAGGACACGUCUUCUACUAGAAUCAGGAGGAGGUAGCACUCCACCCGCAUUCAGGAUCACUAAGCAUUGCUUCUGGAGUUAAGAAAGAAAUCUUCCACUGGGAGUCAGGAUCACCAAGAAACGCUUGGAGGUAAGAGAAACAACUUCCACUGGGAGUGAGCAACAGGAAAUAGUCUGCUUGGAUACCAGAUCAGCAAGCAUUGUGUCUGAAGUCAAGAGACCCAAGCCUUCCACCUGGUAUCAAGAUAAGCAUUCCCUUUGAGUGUGGAUACAAGUCUUUUGCUGGAGGUCAAGAGACACAAAAAUCCAAUCCAAUUCCAAAGAAUCUCAAAGGCAGAACCCAAGUAUUUCUGUGACCCUAGAGACCCAAGUACUCUCUUUCAGCAGAAGCACACAUUCUCCCAGUGCCUGUACACUCAAGCAUGUACCUUUUGGAGAUGUAAGCAUUUUUUUUGAAGACUUUUUAAAAAAUUUUAAUUUAUUUUGAAUUAUCAACAAUCACUUCCUUAAGCUUUUGAGUUUUAAUUUUUUCUCUCCCUUCCUCUCCACCUCCCUCCCCAAGAUGGCAAGCAAUCUGAUAUAGGCUAUCCAUAUACGUUCCUAUUAAACAUAUUUUCACAUUAGUGAUGUUGUAAGGAAGAAUUAGAACCAAUAGGAGGAACCAUGAGAAAGAGGAAACAAAACACAACAGAAGAAAUAAAAUAGCAAAUAGUACUGUCCUGUGCCUAGAG
ensembl:lncRNA